CAGUAGCCGCGGUAAUGCAGAGGCCUCAAGCGUUGUUCGGAUUCAUUGGGCGUAAAGGGAGCGUAGGCGGUCGGGUAAGUCGGAUGUGAAAUCUUGGGGCUCAACCUCAAAACUGCAUUCGAUACUGCUUGGCUAGAGGAAUGGAGGGGAGAUUGGAAUUCACGGUGUAGCAGUGAAAUGCGUAGAUAUCGUGAGGAAGACCAGUGGCGAAGGCGGAUCUCUGGACAUUUCCUGACGCUGAUGCUCGAAGGCCAGGGGAGCAAACGGGAUUAGAUACCCGCGUAGUCCCUGUCUCUUAUAC
rnacentral:rRNA from 1 species